CCCCCAAAAAAAAUCAUCACAUAUUAUGUCUUUUAAAAUGUAAUAAUCAGUAUAUUUAUGUAUUUUUUAUGUUUUAAUUUUUUGCAGGAUAUUGGUCUGGUCUGUGUGUUUGCAUGUUCUCUAAUGUUCUCUCUGCAUGGGAUCUCUCCAGACUAGCGACCUGUCCAGUGUGUUCCUUGACCUUUGCCCUAAAUAAGCUUGGACAGACUCCAAACUACCCACAAACCUCAACUGGAGUGGACUAUCCAGAUGCCGAACAACAACAUUACAAAAACACUGUGGGCAGCCAACAUCCAAAGAAGACCUUUGAAUGUAUUCAAGAUGCCUGGAGAACUAUUCCCGAAGACUACUUAAAGAAAAGACAAGAAAACUCACGUGAGAGAAUUCAGGCUGAAUAAAGAUG